rnacentral:rRNA from 1 species
UACAGAGGGUGCGAGCGUUAAUCGGAAUUACUGGGCGUAGAGCGCGCGUAGGCGGCUUUGCAAGCCGGAUGUGAAAUCCCCGGGCUUAACCUGGGAACUGCAUUCGGGACUGCAUUGCUAGAGUAUGGGAGAGGGAAGUGGAAUUUCAGGUGUAGCGGUGAAAUGCGUAGAUAUCUGAAGGAACAUCAGUGGCGAAAGCGACUUCCUGGACCAAUACUGACGCUCAUGUGCGAAAGCGUGGGGAGCAAACAGG